GUAGUGAAGAACGUUUACCAUGACCAUGAAAUUAGCCCGGAAAAAGAGGUCGGCAUCUACAUGAGACCCAAAAAAGAUUUCAGGAGGAAGGUCCAUCAGUACUCUCAGUGGAUGGAGAAAGAUAUUGAGACGAAAAACUUGGCGCGGCAAUGGAAUGCCCACCUGGCGGAAAGUCAAUCGAAAAAGUAGACUGUUAAGAUUCAAGAACCAAUCCGAAAGUUUCGGAAUUAUUUAUUUUGACAUUUUAUUCGUA